GGAGAGGGGAGGAGAGGGGAGAGAGGAGAGAGGGCUCCCAUGCUUCUGUGGGAGGGGAACCAAGGGAGGAACCCCUAUAGGUAAAGAGCAGCAGAAUUCUAACCUUGAAGUUAUUCCCGCCCCAUUCAUGUUUUCGACCAAUUAGAGGAGUUUUUUCACACUUCCAUGGGAGAGAUUGAUUUUUGACUCUGCCCGCAGCUCUACCAUUUCUUAAAGUGCCCUCAGCCUGAGUUCCUAGAGCCAGGUGCGAGUUGCGCCAGUGCGCAUGCACGAGGCACAAGCCACUCCUAGGGUCAUUGUGACUUUCACCGUUGCCAAGCAACGGGCUCCUGAGACCUGGCAAUGGAUAAGCACCCUGUGGCAGUGAGUCAGAAACAAGACUCAGGCCACGCCUCGCCAGGACGUUCACAGGAAACUCUCUGGAGGCCAGGAUUCAUGAACGGUCGAACAAGAGAAAGAAACUUAAGGUGGAGGGAUCGCAGGAAGCAGCCUGGAAUCUCAGCCUCAGGCCUGUGCCAAGAGAGUACAGCAUCCAAAAUCAGAUUCAAAAAGGAAAGGGGAGAGCCCUUUAGACACCCUGAAGCCAGGAGCCAAAACAGAAGAGCACUGAAGGAGGUCCUGAGGACAGGAGUCUUAUGGGUUUGA
rnacentral:lncRNA from 13 species